AGAUGAAGUGCCUGAGUAAAGGAAUAUCUCGAUAAGAUAAAAAACGUAGAAAUCUACCUCAUCUA
rnacentral:tRNA from 1 species